UGUUAAAAAUUUCAUCCAAUUCUACGGUUAAAAAUAGAUAUUGCUAACAGAAUAGCCAGACAAUUACAUAUGAUUGUCACGUGCACCUCAUUUUGAUAUACAAAGACUAAUUUUUAAUAAUAUGAAUGGAUAAAAUUUUUAACA
rfam:Gossypium raimondii Chr10_contig_5, whole genome shotgun sequence.